AGAGUUUGAUCAUGGCUCAGAUUGAACGCUGGCGGCAUGCCUAACACAUGCAAGUCGAACGCGAAAGCGCCUUCGGGCGUGAGUAGAGUGGCGGACGGGUGAGUAACGCGUGGGAAUCUGCCCUGUAGUGGGGGACAACCCGGGGAAACUCGGGCUAAUACCGCAUACGUCCUACGGGAGAAAGGGGGCCUUCGGGCUCUCGCUACAGGAUGAGCCCGCGUCCGAUUAGCUAGUUGGUGGGGUAAAGGCCCACCAAGGCGACGAUCGGUAGCUGGUCUGAGAGGAUGAUCAGCCACACUGGGACUGAGACACGGCCCAGACUUCUACGGGAGGCAGCAGUGGGGAAUAUUGGACAAUGGGCGAAAGCCUGAUCCAGCAAUGCCGCGUGUGUGAAGAAGGCCUGCGGGUUGUAAAGCACUUUCAGUAGGGAAGAAAUGCUGAGGGUUAAUACCCCUUGGUCUUGACGUUACCUACAGGAGAAGCACCGGCUAACUCCGUGCCAGCAGCCGCGGUAAUACGGAGGGUGCAAGCGUUAAUCGGAAUCACUGGGCGUAAAGCGCACGUAGGCGGCUAGGUAAGUCAGAUGUGAAAGCCCCGGGCUCAACCUGGGAACUGCAUUUGAUACUGCUUGGCUUGAGUCUAGUACAGGGGGGUGGAAUUCCACGUGUAGCGGUGAAAUGCGUAGAUAUCUGUAGGAACACCUGAGGCGACGGCUGGCCCCUGCACUAAGACUGACUCUGAGGUGCGAAAGCGUGCGCAGUAAACAGACUAGAUAACCCUGCUAGUCAAUGCCGUAACGAUGACCACUAGCCGUUGGAUUCUUUUAA
rnacentral:rRNA from 1 species